rnacentral:rRNA from 1 species
GAUGAACGCUGGCGGCGUGCCUAAUACAUGCAAGUCGAGCGAACAGACGAGGAGCUUGCUCCUCUGACGUUAGCGGCGGACGGGUGAGUAACACGUGGAUAACCUACCUAUAAGACUGGGAUAACUUCGGGAAACCGGAGCUAAUACCGGAUAAUAUAUUGAACCGCAUGGUUCAAUAGUGAAAGACGGUUUUGCUGUCACUUAUAGAUGGAUCCGCGCCGCAUUAGCUAGUUGGUAAGGUAACGGCUUACCAAGCGACGAUGCGUAGCCGACCUGAGAGGGUGAUCGGCCACACUGGAACUGAGACACGGUCCAGACUCCUACGGGAGGCAGCAGUAGGGAAUCUUCCGCAAUGGGCGAAAGCCUGACGGAGCAACGCCGCGUGAGUGAUGAAGGUCUUCGGAUCGUAAAACUCUGUUAUUAGGGAAGAACAAAUGUGUAAGUAACUAUGCACGUCUUGACGGUACCUAAUCAGAAAGCCACGGCUAACUACGUG